rnacentral:tRNA from 1 species
GGGGCCAUAGUUUAACGGGAGAACGCAGCCUUCGCAAGGCUGAGAUGGCGGUUCGAUUCCGCUUGGCUCCACCA